AAAUGGGUAAAUGGAUGAAAUUAUAAGCAAGGUUUGUAACAUAAAAAGGAACCUAACCUAUCUUAUUAAUUAUAGAAAUUUUAUGUCAUUCAAAAAAUUAACAUUAAAGAUAAUGAUAUCUUAUGUUACAAAUAAAACUUCCAAAACGUUCAAAGAUAUUCAAAGCUGGGAAUGUACGGAUGAAUUUUUAUUAACAGCAAUUAAUAUUUCUGGAAUAAUAAUUUUUGGAUUCUUUCUCAUUUUGAUUUAUUACAUUAUUGAUUUGUCAAGUAAUUGGUUAGAUGACUAAACUGGCAGAAAUGUUGUGAAAAUCGUGGUGCUGAAAAAAAAUUGUGAAUAUUAAAAUAGUGCUAUGUUUAAAUACAAAUAAAUGAUUUCAAUAACA